rnacentral:lncRNA from 1 species
UUUUCUUUCAUGAAACAUCAAAGAAGCAACACAGAAUGCAUCUUUCAUGUUCCAGACAUACCACAAUACUUCAGUGUUUUCCAUUCCUUCAGAUUCACUGCUAACCAAGAUGAAAGCUGAGGUCUUGUGAGCAAAACCUAAGCCAUCUGAAAAGAAAUGGUAUCCCUUUGAGGUUCUCGGUUCCAGAGAAGGAACAUUGUGGUCAUGUUCGACAGGCUGGUGUAGAACGUCACACAAUGGUGCUGGAGAUGUUUCAUGGAUUGUCUUCCAGGAGAUGAAGAAGGAACAAGAAAGAAAAUUCUUAGGGCUUGAAAUCAUCACCUGCAUGAAAGAAAAACCCAACAAAGAACUGAAAAGAUGUGCUGAGCCCCCAUCAGGGCUAUAGGAGCAGCUGCCUGUGUCAAAGCUUGUGAAAACAUGCUACAUUCACCGUUGUCCCUACUGCCAGAUUACAUUGAUAGGAAUGGCUCAGGGAUGCUCUGCUCUGAAAAUGCAGACUUCUGGACUGAGAGGGAUUCUCCACUGGCUACUAGCAAUGUGCUGUCUGUCUUACGUAUACGAACAGUUCAGAAUACACUACCUGCUGAUGAGCGCAGGACCUGCAACCAGAGGAUCUGUAUGGAUUGCUCACGUGCCCUGAAAUUCUUCUCUGUGGGACAAGGCUUUGAAGAUGGAACACAUGAAAGCUUAUUCAAUACAUGGAGAAAGGAGAGGAGAACUGAAAACAGUUGGUGGGGGCACCAGCCUGGUUUUGAACCUUCUGAAGAAUAG